rnacentral:tRNA from 1 species
GCCGAGAUAGCUCAGCGGUAGAGCACGAUCAUGGUAAGAUCGGGGUCACGGGUUCAAGUCCCGUUCUCGGCUCAA